rnacentral:rRNA from 1 species
UACGAAGGGGGCUAGCGUUGUUCGGAUUUACUGGGCGUAAAGCGCACGUAGGCGGAUCGUUAAGUCGGGGGUGAAAUCCUGGAGCUCAACUCCAGAACUGCCUUCGAUACUGGCGAUCUCGAGUCCGGAAGAGGUGAGUGGAACUCCUAGUGUAGAGGUGGAAUUCGUAGAUAUUAGGAAGAACACCAGUGGCGAAGGCGACAUACUGGUCCGUUACUGACGCUGAGGCUCGAAAGCGUGGGGAGCAAACAGG